CACAUCAUUUAGCUAAGAUAAAUGACAAACUAUGAGCCAGAGGAGGAGAGGCUACAUCAGCUCAUGCUUGGGUGAGCAUGUAGGGCAUGGAUGCACCACACGCCUUGAGAGCAAUAGCAGCUGAAAUAAACUGUCGAAAAGAAGAAAAACACAGAUGAUUGGAGGAUGGGAGCAAGAAGAAAGAUGAAAAGAAGGAAGAGAUGGGAGGAGGAGAGAAAUGAUGAGGAAGAAGUCAAGAGAUCAAUCCCUAGUUUGGGAUUAUCUCUGCUCCGAUAACAUCCGCCACCCCACCCACUGCCAUUAAGAUCUGCUCCCUUUUAGGUUUCAGCUGCUGGCCAAGUUUACACCUAGCUCUACGGUUACAGUCUUCAAAUGCGAUUAGUGCUUAUCUGAAAAGAGACCAAACUACCGUCAUCAUUGAGUUCAUCAUCAUAUCCAUAUUCAUGUCUUUUAAAUCCCCUCUGGAGUAAAACUAAAAGGAUUCAAGUACCUGAAAACAGUGAGCUCUUAGCGGCGGAGGAAGGAUUGCAGAUUUAUCUAUUGAGGUCAGAGUGCGGUAUAAAACAUUUUCGGGUGUUUUUUUCUCACAAAGAAGCAUGGUUUGCAGAAAAAAGUGACAGUUCCGUUCAAACUGAAAAUGAUAAAAACAAAUAUAUGUAACAUUAGAAAACGUUUGUGCUUUAUUAACUUAAUAUUAAACAAAAUGUUCGCUUAAAGUUUACUUCAACGUAAUCAGUGAUAUUGUGGUUUGUUUGGGCCAUUUUGCCAAGUAGCAUGUUGCUUCAAACAUGUGCAUACUGGUCCACAUCAGUGUAAUAGCAUAUGCAACAAUGCCUCCUCUUCAGCAUGACAAAUGCUGGCUUUCAAGACAUGUGCUGAUAAUUUUUUUUAGCUUGAAAGACACAGCAUCCAAUAUAUGAAAUAAAAACAAAUAAUUUUUUCUACUUUCUACUAUGUACCAGUCAUCCAAAAAUGAGUUUGACCUUGGAGGGCAGCAGUGCCUCUGCGUCUCGAUUAUGCAUAAUUUAAACCACCAAUGUUUUAGCAAAUGGCACAUGUAUUUUUGAUAAUGAAAAUAUCCAAUUACUUGCUUUUUUAAGGUAUUGUAGUUUAUAUGGUCACUUCCUAUGGUUCUUAUCCAGGUUUUUGACUAAA